rnacentral:rRNA from 1 species
UACGUAGGUGGCAAGCGUUGUCCGGAUUUAUUGGGUUUAAAGGGUGCGUAGGCGGUCUUUUAAGUCAGUGCUGAAAUAUCCCAGCUUAACUGGGAGGGUGGCAUUGAUACUGCGGGGCUAGAGUACAGAUGAGGUAGGCGGAAUUGACGGUGUAGCGGUGAAAUGCUUAGAUAUCGUCAAGAACACCUAUAGCGAAGGCAGCUUACUAGGCUGUAACUGACGCUGAGGCACGAAAGUGUGGGGAUCAAACAGG